rnacentral:rRNA from 1 species
UACGUAGGGGGCAAGCGUUGUCCGGAAUCAUUGGGCGUAAGAGCGUGUAGGCGGCUCGGUAAGUCCGCUCUGAAAGCCCGGGGCUCAACCCCGGGAGGCGGGGCGGAUACUGUCGGGCUAGAGUCCGGAAGAGGCGAGUGGAAUUCCUGGUGUAGCGGUGGAAAAUGGCGCAGAUAUCAGGAGGAACAACCGAUGGCGAAGGCAGGGUCUCUGGGCAUUAACUGACGCUGAGGAGCGAAAGCGUGGGGAGCGAACAGGA